GGUUAAGCGACUAAGCGUACACGGUGGAUGCCCUGGCAGUCAGAGGCGAUGAAGGACGUGCUAAUCUGCGAUAAGCGUCGGUAAGGUGAUAUGAACCGUUAUAACCGGCGAUUUCCGAAUGGGGAAACCCAGUGUGAUUCGUCACACUAUCAUUAACUGAAUCCAUAGGUUAAUGAGGCGAACCGGGGGAACUGAAACAUCUAAGUACCCCGAGGAAAAGAAAUCAACCGAGAUUCCCCCAGUAGCGGCGAGCGAACGGGGAGGAGCCCAGAGCCUGAAUCAGUGUGUGUGUUAGUGGAAGCGUCUGGAAAGGCGCGCGAUACAGGGUGACAGCCCCGUACACAAAAAUGCACAUGCUGUGAGCUCGAUGAGUAGGGCGGGACACGUGGUAUCCUGUCUGAAUAUGGGGGGACCAUCCUCCAAGGCUAAAUACUCCUGACUGACCGAUAGUGAACCAGUACCGUGAGGGAAAGGCGAAAAGAACCCCGGCGAGGGGAGUGAAAAAGAACCUGAAACCGUGUACGUACAAGCAGUGGGAGCACAGAGCAAUCUGUGUGACUGCGUACCUUUUGUAUAAUGGGUCAGCGACUUAUAUUCUGUAGCAAGGUUAACCGAAUAGGGGAGCCGAAGGGAAACCGAGUCUUAACCGGGCGUUAAGUUGCAGGGUAUAGACCCGAAACCCGGUGAUCUAGCCAUGGGCAGGUUGAAGGUUGGGUAACACUAACUGGAGGACCGAACCGACUAAUGUUGAAAAAUUAGCGGAUGACUUGUGGCUGGGGGUGAAAGGCCAAUCAAACCGGGAGAUAGCUGGUUCUCCCCGAAAGCUAUUUAGGUAGCGCCUCGUGAAUUCAUCUCCGGGGGUAGAGCACUGUUUCGGCAAGGGGGUCAUCCCGACUUACCAACCCGAUGCAAACUGCGAAUACCGGAGAAUGUUAUCACGGGAGACACACGGCGGGUGCUAACGUCCGUCGUGAAGAGGGAAACAACCCAGACCGCCAGCUAAGGUCCCAAAGUCAUGGUUAAGUGGGAAACGAUGUGGGAAGGCCCAGACAGCCAGGAUGUUGGCUUAGAAGCAGCCAUCAUUUAAAGAAAGCGUAAUAGCUCACUGGUCGAGUCGGCCUGCGCGGAAGAUGUAACGGGGCUAAACCAUGCACCGAAGCUGCGGCAGCGACACUGUGUGUUGUUGGGUAGGGGAGCGUUCUGUAAGCCUGUGAAGGUGUGCUGUGAGGCAUGCUGGAGGUAUCAGAAGUGCGAAUGCUGACAUAAGUAACGAUAAAGCGGGUGAAAAGCCCGCUCGCCGGAAGACCAAGGGUUCCUGUCCAACGUUAAUCGGGGCAGGGUGAGUCGACCCCUAAGGCGAGGCCGAAAGGCGUAGUCGAUGGGAAACAGGUUAAUAUUCCUGUACUUGGUGUUACUGCGAAGGGGGGACGGAGAAGGCUAUGUUGGCCGGGCGACGGUUGUCCCGGUUUAAGCGUGUAGGCUGGUUUUCCAGGCAAAUCCGGAAAAUCAAGGCUGAGGCGUGAUGACGAGGCACUACGGUGCUGAAGCAACAAAUGCCCUGCUUCCAGGAAAAGCCUCUAAGCAUCAGGUAACAUCAAAUCGUACCCCAAACCGACACAGGUGGUCAGGUAGAGAAUACCAAGGCGCUUGAGAGAACUCGGGUGAAGGAACUAGGCAAAAUGGUGCCGUAACUUCGGGAGAAGGCACGCUGAUAUGUAGGUGAAGUCCCUCGCGGAUGGAGCUGAAAUCAGUCGAAGAUACCAGCUGGCUGCAACUGUUUAUUAAAAACACAGCACUGUGCAAACACGAAAGUGGACGUAUACGGUGUGACGCCUGCCCGGUGCCGGAAGGUUAAUUGAUGGGGUCAGCGCAAGCGAAGCUCUUGAUCGAAGCCCCGGUAAACGGCGGCCGUAACUAUAACGGUCCUAAGGUAGCGAAAUUCCUUGUCGGGUAAGUUCCGACCUGCACGAAUGGCGUAAUGAUGGCCAGGCUGUCUCCACCCGAGACUCAGUGAAAUUGAACUCGCUGUGAAGAUGCAGUGUACCCGCGGCAAGACGGAAAGACCCCGUGAACCUUUACUAUAGCUUGACACUGAACAUUGAGCCUUGAUGUGUAGGAUAGGUGGGAGGCUUUGAAGUGUGGACGCCAGUCUGCAUGGAGCCGACCUUGAAAUACCACCCUUUAAUGUUUGAUGUUCUAACGUGGACCCGUGAUCCGGGUUGCGGACAGUGUCUGGUGGGUAGUUUGACUGGGGCGGUCUCCUCCUAAAGAGUAACGGAGGAGCACGAAGGUUGGCUAAUCCUGGUCGGACAUCAGGAGGUUAGUGCAAUGGCAUAAGCCAGCUUGACUGCGAGCGUGACGGCGCGAGCAGGUGCGAAAGCAGGUCAUAGUGAUCCGGUGGUUCUGAAUGGAAGGGCCAUCGCUCAACGGAUAAAAGGUACUCCGGGGAUAACAGGCUGAUACCGCCCAAGAGUUCAUAUCGACGGCGGUGUUUGGCACCUCGAUGUCGGCUCAUCACAUCCUGGGGCUGAAGUAGGUCCCAAGGGUAUGGCUGUUCGCCAUUUAAAGUGGUACGCGAGCUGGGUUUAGAACGUCGUGAGACAGUUCGGUCCCUAUCUGCCGUGGGCGCUGGAGAACUGAGGGGGGCUGCUCCUAGUACGAGAGGACCGGAGUGGACGCAUCACUGGUGUUCGGGUUGUCAUGCCAAUGGCACUGCCCGGUAGCUAAAUGCGGAAGAGAUAAGUGCUGAAAGCAUCUAAGCACGAAACUUGCCCCGAGAUGAGUUCUCCCUGACCCUUUAAGGGUCCUGAAGGAACGUUGAAGACGACGACGU
rnacentral:rRNA from 1 species